UACGUAGGGUGCGAGCGUUGUCCGGAAUUAUUGGGCGUAAAGAGCUCGUAGGCGGUUUGUCGCGUCGGCCGUGAAAAACUGGAGGCUCAACCUCCAGCCUGCAGUGGGUACGGGCAGACUAGAGUGCGGUAGGGGGAGACUGGAAUUCCUGGUGUAGCGGUGAAAUGCGCAGAUAUCAGGAGGGAACACCCGGUGGCGAAGGCGGGUCUCU
rnacentral:rRNA from 1 species